GAAUGUGUGUGUGUGUGUGUGUGUGUGUGUGUGUGUGUGUGAAAAUGAGAGCCUCUUGUGAUCUAGGUGUGGAUGUAAUAAUGACCCAGCAAUAAAACUGUAGAACAGUUUACUAGGAUAUCUGAAUGUUGAUUUUCUUGGAUGGGCCACAAUUCUCUUCCCUGACCCUUUACUAACAAUUUAAGUUUACAGAAGUCAGAAAUGUCAGUCAGAA